GACGAACGCUGGCGGCGUGCUUAACACAUGCAAGUCGAACGGAAAGGCCCUGCUUGCAGGGUACUCGAGUGGCGAACGGGUGAGUAACACGUGGGUGAUCUGCCUUGCACUUCGGGAUAAGCCCUGGAAACUGGGUCUAAUACCGGACAGGAGCCAUUUUUAGUGUGAUGGUUGGAGAGUUUUUUUGGUGUAGGAUGAGGUCGCGGCCUAUCCGCUUGUUGGUGGGGUAAUGGCAUACCAAGGCGGCGGCGGGUAGCCGGCCUGGGAGGGUGGACGGGAACAGUGGGACUGGGACACAGCCCAGACCCAGACGGGAGGGAGAAGUGGGGAAUAUUGAUAAAGGGGCGCAGGCGUGAUGCUGCGCCAGCGCGGGGGGGAGAGCGAUCUUGGGGUUAGAAACGUAUUGCGCUAGGGACGGAGCUGAUAGUGACGGUACCUAGAGAAGAAGCACCGGCUAACUACGUG
rnacentral:rRNA from 1 species